rnacentral:rRNA from 1 species
UACGGGGGGGAGCAAGCGUUGUUCGGAUUUACUGGGCGUAAAGGGCGCGUAGGCGGCGCAACAAGUCACUUGUGAAAUCUCCGGGCUUAACCCGGAGCGGUCAAGUGAUACUGUCGUGCUAGAGUGCGGAAGAGGCGAGUGGAAUUCCCGGUGUAGCGGUGAAAUGCGCAGAUAUCGGGAGGAACACCAAUUGCGAAGGCAGCUCGCUGGGACGUUACUGACGCUGAGACGCGAAAGCGUGGGGAGCAAACAGG